GUCCCUGUAGAGCAAUGGACAGCGCGCGUUGGACUUUUAAUUCAAAGGUCGUGGUUUCGAAUCCCACGGGGGAUA